CUGUUAACCCUUCCCUGAGAUAUGGGAGCACAGAGCUGCCGGGGCUGAUGAGGACCGAUCUAGUGUGCUGAAAGCAGUCAUCACUGUAUUGGAUGUUGACCCUCGUGAUUGUGGGGCCGACUGGAAGCCGCUGCUCACUGCCACUGCCCAGCAUCAAGAGAGGGGAUCAUACUCUGAAUCUCUAGCUUGGGAGAAGAUCCAAUUUCAAAAUUGAAGUUUGGUUUUUACUGACUGCAGAUCUCUUUUGCACCACCCUAGAGUCAAAAGUUGAUUUACACAACUGGGCAAGAAUCUGGGGGUAAAUCAUUGAAACGUAUAGGAAACCAAAUAGACAACAACAGAAGACAAUUAUUAACUGCAAGUAAAAAAAAAAAAGUACUGGAAAAAUUACCGUAGUAAACCACAUAUGAAUAGCACGUACAUAAUCAUGAUAAUAUAAAUACUGGCUAUGAUAUCAUAGUUUAAAUAAG